CCUACGGGUGGCAGCAGUGAGGAAUAUUGGUCAAUGGGCGCGAGGCUGAACCAGCCAAGUCGCGUGAGGGAAGACGGCCCUACGGGUUGUAAACCUCUUUUGUCGGGGAGCAAAGCGAGCCACGUGUGACUCAUUGAGAGUACCCGAAGAAAAAGCAUCGGCUAACUCCGUGCCAGCAGCCGCGGUAAUACGGAGGAUGCGAGCGUUAUCCGGAUUUAUUGGGUUUAAAGGGUGCGCAGGCGGAGGUGCAAGUCAGCGGUAAAAUUGCGGGGCUCAACCCCGUACUGCCGUUGAAACUGGAUCUCUUGAGUGCGCGAGAAGUAUGCGGAAUGCGUGGUGUAGCGGUGAAAUGCAUAGAUAUCACGCAGAACUCCGAUUGCGAAGGCAGCAUACCGGCGCGCAACUGACGCUCAUGCACGAAAGCGUGGGUAUCGAACAGGAUUAGAUACCCUGGUAGUC
rnacentral:rRNA from 1 species